rnacentral:lncRNA from 1 species
UAUGUCAGAGCACAACGGGAAGUGCUUUUUAAGGCUGAGAUUCUGUUCCCAGGUCCUGAUCAGCUCUUCCCAGCCUCAGAGAAGCCAUGGGAGCCUGCCGCAUCCAGUAUGUCCUGCUCCUCUCUCUACUGGGCUUCUGCCCCUGCUCAGAUACUCUGACCUGCCAGAUGGGAUCCAUGGUGCGUUUGGGCAGUGACCUCACUAGGAAUGAAGUUGAAUGGAUAGAACUGAAGACUGUGGAAACUAGCGGUGAAGAGAUAUGUCAGGAGAUAUUUCUGCUCAUAGAUGUAGGUACAACAGCUCUCAUAUUGGGGAGCAAAGGUCCCAGCAUACCGAGUCAUAGAAAUGUCAGAAACAUCACGGUGUUUGCCCGUGGACCUGGAUUAAAGGCUAUCAUUUUUUACCACAUAUGUGACAUUGAACUGUGCAACAGAGCUAACAGCACCAGAAUGCUAAUUGACUCCAUCCCUUCUGUAGGGUAUUUGCAACUCCUACACCAACCUUGCCAUCUGUCCUAGAGGCACUCGAUGUUAUAAGAGUGACCUGGCACUCCAUGGAGGUAAGGGAUGAGGCUGCCUUCCCGGAUGGAGGAGACUGUGGCCAUGACUCCAGCGCCUCAGGAGGAGGGAUGAAGUCUCCUGGCUCUGAGGGAGGUGGCAUCAGUGCAAUCUUUAGCAUUUCUGGAUGUCUGGUCUAUCCUCAAAAAUUCUUAAUGAAAAAUCAAAGUUCAGUCGGGACGAUCUCCCUAUUAGAAACCCUUUUGAUGCCAAAGAGCAAGUCACCCUCACACGAACUUGUCCCGAGCAUCUUACUGACCUGCAUGUUUGGGCUCUUAGCCCUUUGUUUACAGAGAUCUGUCCUCUCUGCUGAACCCAUUUCCUGACCAUUCUUAAUCCCUCUUGGCCACCCAGACCCAGCCCUCCUCUGACUUCAAAGACCUGAGGCUGGACGCUGUCGGCCUGCGCUGUCGGGCGCCAUCAUCCCUCACCCACACACCUCUGCCCCUCAUGCUUAGACUUGGGAGCCACUGAGCCCAGCCGGCUCCAGAGCAGACAAGCACACGUUGACCACGUGUGGAAAAAUAAAGUUGCUGUUGUUUG